rnacentral:rRNA from 1 species
GAUGAACGCUGGCGGCGUGCCUAAUACAUGCAAGUCGAGCGAACAGACGAGGAGCUUGCUCCUCUGAUGUUAGCGGCGGACGGGUGAGUAACACGUGGAUAACCUACCUAUAAGACUGGGAUAACUUCGGGAAACCGGAGCUAAUACCGGAUAACAUGUUGAACCGCAUGGUUCAACAGUGAAAGACGGUCUUACUGUCACUUAUAGAUGGAUCCGCGCCGCAUUAGCUAGUUGGUAAGGUAACGGCUUACCAAGGCAACGAUGCGUAGCCGACCUGAGAGGGUGAUCGGCCACACUGGAACUGAGACACGGUCCAGACUCCUACGGGAGGCAGCAGUAGGGAAUCUUCCGCAAUGGGCGAAAGCCUGACGGAGCAACGCCGCGUGAGUGAAGAAGGUCUUCGGAUCGUAAAACUCUGUUAUUAGGGAAGAACAAAUGUGUAAGUAACUAUGCACGUCUUGACGGUACCUAAUCAGAAAGCCACGGCUAACUACGUG